GAUGAACGCUAGCGGCAGACUUAAUACAUGUGAGUCGAGGGGCAGCGGAUCCCUCCGGGGAUGCCGGCGACCGGCGAACGGGUGAGUAACACGUAUGGAAUCUACCCUUAACUGGGGAAUAGCCUUGAGAAAUCGAGGGUAAUGCCCCAUACCAUCUUGAAAAGGCAUCUUUUCUAGAUGAAAGCUCCGGCGGUUAAGGAUGGCCAUGCGCUCCAUUAGCUUGUUGGUGAGAUAACCGCUCACCAAGGCCGCGAUGGAUAGCUGAUCUGAGAGGAUGAUCAGCCACAUUGGCACUGAGACACGGGCCAAACUCCUACGGGAGGCAGCAGUAGGGAAUCUUGGUCAAUUGGCGAAAGCCAGAACCAGUCAUGCCGCGUGCAGGAUGAAGGCCCUACGGGUCGUAAACUGCUUUUAUUCGGGAAGAAAAAGUCUGUUUCCACAGACCUUGACGGUACCGAUUGAAUAAGGACCGGCCAACUCCGUGCCAGCAGCCGCGGUAAUACGGAGGGUCCAAGCGUUAUCCGGAUUCACUGGGUUUAAAGGGUGCGCAGGCGGCCAAGUAAGUCAGUGGUGAAAGCCUUCGGCUCAACCGGAGAAUUGCCAUUGAAACUACUUGGCUUGAGUGCAGUAGAGGUAGGCGGAAUGUAGCAUGUAGCGGUGAAAUGCAUAGAUAUGCUACAGAACACCGAUAGCGAAAGCAGCUUACCACACUGUAACUGACGCUGAGGCACGAAAGCAUGGGUAGCAAACAGGAUUAGAUACCCUGGUAGUCCAUGCCGUAAACUUUGAACACUCGGAGUUUGCCACCUAGUGGUAAGCUCCCUAGCGAAAGCGUUAAGCGUUCCACCUGGGGAGUACGGCCGCGAGGCUAAAACUCAAAGGAAUUGACGGGGGCCCGCACAAGCGGUGGAGCAUGUGGCUCAAUUCGAUGCAACGCGAAGAACCUUACCUAGGCUCGAACGCUAGAGGACCGCUCCUGAAAGGGAGCUUCCCCUUUGGGGCUUCUAGCGAGGUACUGCAUGGCUGUCGUCAGCUCGUGUCGUGAGAUGUUGGGUUAAGUCCCGCAACGAGCGUAACCCCUGUUGCUAGUUACCAUCGGGUAGUGCCGGGGACUCUAGCGAAACUGCCUGCGCAAGCAGUGAGGAAGGUGGGGAUGACGUCAAGUCAUCAUGGUCCUUACGCCUAGGGCUGCACACGUGCUACAAUGGCCGGUACAACGGGUAGCCACCUCGCGAGAGGGAGCGAAUCCCUGAAAACCGGUCCCAGUUCGGAUUGGAGUCUGCAACUCGACUCCAUGAAGCAGGAAUCGCUAGUAAUCGCGGAUCAGCAAUGCCGCGGUGAAUCCGUUCCCGGGCCUUGUACACACCGCCCGUCAAGCCAUGGAAGCUGAGAACACCCGAAGUCCGUGACUCAACUCCGGCCUUGUGCCGGAGGGAGAGCGGCCGAAGGUGAGUUCAGUGACUGGGGCU
rnacentral:rRNA from 1 species